rnacentral:rRNA from 1 species
UACGGGGGGGGCAAGCGUUGUUCGGAAUUACUGGGCGUAAAGCGUGCGCAGGCGGUUAUGUAAGACAGAUGUGAAAUGCCCGGGCUUAACCUGGGAAUUGCGCUUGAAACUAGCGGGCUUGAGUGUGGCAGAGGGGGGUGGAAUUCCACGUGUAGCAGUGAAAUGCGUAGAGAUGUGGAGGAACACCGAUGGCGAAGGCAGCCCCCUGGGUCAACACUGACGCUCAUGCACGAAAGCGUGGGGAGCAAACAGG